UACGUAGGGUCCGAGCGUUGUCCGGAAUUAUUGGGCGUAAAGAGCUCGUAGGCGGUGUGUCGCGUCGGCCGUGAAAACCUGCGGCUCAACCGUGUGGUCUGCAGUCGAUACGGGCAGGCUGGAGUUCGGUAGGGGAGACUGGAAUUCCUGGUGUAGCGGUGAAAUGCGCAGAUAUCAGGAGGAACACCGGUGGCGAAGGCGGGUCUCUGGGCCGAUACUGACGCUGAGGAGCGAAAGCGUGGGGAGCGAACAGG
rnacentral:rRNA from 1 species